rnacentral:rRNA from 1 species
GUGAGCUAGGGGACAGCAGCGGCGGUAAAAGUGAGGUGGGGAGGGUGAUUCGGAGUUACAGGGCGGAAAGCGGGCGGGGGUGGUUGAGUAAGUGGGGUGUGAAAUCUCUUGGCUUAACGGGGAGGGGACGCUGAAGACUGCUUGGCUUGAGGGCGAGAGAGGGGUGCAGAAUUCCCGGUGUAGUGGUGGAAUGCGUAGAUAUCGGGAGGAAUACCAGUGGCGAAAGCGGCGCCCUGGCUCGCACCUGACACUGAGGCGCGAAAGCGUGGGGAGCGAACGGGAUUAGAUACCCGAGUAGUC